UGGAAACGAUUUUAUAGUCAUGAACUAAAUGCGAGGAGCACUUAAAGUGUCGAACUGCAUUGUAUAUUUUAUGUAAAUUAAGAAUAUUGAACAAAUUCCCCAUUUGGUACAAAAGAGAGAAAGAAAAUAGACCUCUCCUGAUGAUCAAUGCCUCUGAGGAAAUGAAUUAUCUUUAUUUUCUCCAUUAUCUUUUAUUGUCAUUUUAUAUACUCUAUAAAAUAUCGACCUGCAAGGUAUUCAAAUGAAAUGUGAUGUAAUUUUUCUGAUUCACGAGCCUUUUUUAUAUCCUUCAGGCAAGACUGCGACCUUCUCUACAUCCCUGAGUACACCUCAUAGGUAGACUCUGCCCUCAUAAUAGAAAGUACUCUAGUAACAGAGUGUGUUAUAUUCAGGCAAAUGUACUCCUUGGAGUCCAAAGGGCUGGGUUCAAAUCCCAAUUUUGCAAUUGAAUGUGCAGUGUUGGAUAUGUUCAUUAUAGUGUGCAAGUCCAAGUACUGCAAAGCUGAAGAGAGACAAUGCACAUCUCGAAGUACAAGUCAUUAAACCUGCCUUUGGAAGCAUGUGAGACUUAGAAUAAAUAACAAGAAAGAAUAUUGAAAAUUGGAUUUCCCAAAGAAUUAAGAUGCUCCCACUGUGGCCAGGCUCGGGCUACCUACCGCAGCCCCCGAGGCGGAGAGGCAGGCAGUCGCCUGCACAAACGCCACUGGAGCCACCUGCAGCACAUCGCUGGCUGUGCCAGGUGAUGCCAUUAACUUCCAGCUCCCUCUUCAUGAGCCUGGAACUGCAUCCUACGACCACUUCUCCUGCACCAGUUGACCCUGUGAGGCAUUCUGCUAGGAGGCCACAGGAGAGAUACUGGAAGACCAGGGCAGGCCCAGAUCUUUGUCCGUGGCUCUGCUGCCCUCUCCUCCAGCAAAGCAGCCAAUGGAUUAUGAAGGAAAAGAUAAACAGCCAUGAUAGAAAGUUUCCCAGCCAGUUGUGAAUACCUCAAAGACGAAAGCAGAUUUCACUCUGAACUUGGAGGCAGACUCACAUUUAUCCUCCCACACCGGGAUCCAAUGUCAGCCAUCCUCAUCCUAUCGCCCACUGUUCUAUGACUUAGAUGCGACGCCAACGGCUCAAAAUAUUUACAGCAUGAUCCUGCUUUAUAAAGACCAUGGCAGUAGCAGCGGUGCUUAUGAAAUGUGUCAUCCACGUCACCACAUUUCCUGACCUCCCUGUGCUUAAUCAGAGACGUGAGACAUCCUUAUGGCUACCUUACCUAUGUCCUUCUGUGGACAAAGGGAUGUGUAUUAUUUUUGGGAUGAAGCACUGAAGAGCAGUGUCUUUUUUACUUCUGUGAGAUCAGGAAUGUAGCUCCAAACAGUGUGUGUGUAUGUGUGUGUGUGUGUGUGUGUGUGUUGGGGGGGGUGGUUCUCAGCUUUAAUACUAUGGACAUUUUGAACCAGGUAAUUGUGAGUGUGGGGGACAGAGGUCUAUCCUGUGCUUUUCAGGAUGUUCAGCAGUAUCCCUGGCCUAUAGUCAUUAGCUGGAGCACCAUUCUCUCCAGUUAUGACAAUAAAAUGUACAGUCUGACACUGUCCA
ensembl:lncRNA